UUAAAAAGACUCGUAGUUGGAUUUCUGUUGCGACUCAUAAGUUGCCCCUUCUCGGGUUGCAAUUAGUGACGUGACAUCCUCUCGAGUUACAUCCCUGGCAUUAAUUUGUCGAGGUUGCUCUCGAGUCGUUUACUUUGAGGAAAUUAGAGUGUUCACAGCAGGCAUUCGCCCGAAUACAUUAGCAUGGAAUAAUUGCAGGAUUUUGGUUCUAUUUUGUUGGUUUCUAGAACCGAAAUAAUGAUUAAUAGGGACAAUUGGGGGCAUUCGUAUUAACACGUCAGAGGUGGAAUUCUUGGAUUGUGUUACGACGAACUACUGCGAAAGCAUUUGCCAAGGAUGUUUUCAUUGAUCAAGAACGAAAGUAAGGGGAUCGAAGACGAUUAGAUACCGUCGUAGUCUUUACCAUAAACAAUGCCAACUAGGGAUAGGGCAUGUUUACUUUGCUUGUUCUGCACCUUAUGAGAAAUCAAAGUCUAUGGGUUCCGGGGGGAGUAUGGU
rnacentral:rRNA from 1 species